UUUAGAGGGCGUACCCCCCACACUGGUACUGAGACACGGACCAGACUUCUACGGAAGGCAGCAGUGAGGAAUAUUGGUCAAUGGAGGAAACUCUGAACCAGCUACGCCGUGUGCAGGAUGACAGUCUUUUCAGGUUGUAAACUGCUUUUUGUAUAGAAAUAAAACUCCUACGUGAUAGGAGCUUGAAGGUACUAUACGAAUAAGUGUCGGCUAAUUCCGUGCCAGCAGCCGCGGCAAUACGGGAGACACAAGCGUUAUUCGGAUUUAUUGGGUUUAAAGGGUGUGUAGGCUGUUUAUUAAGUCAGUAGUGAAAGCUUACAGCUUAACUGUAAAAUUGCUAUUGAUACUGGCAAACUUGAGUAAGAUUGGAGCAGCUGGAAUGUAUGGUGUAGCGGUGAAAUGCAUAGAUAUCAUACAGAACACCGAUAGCGAAGGCAGGCUGCUAAAUCUUUAUUGACGCUGAGUGCACGAAAGCGUGGGUAGCAAACAGGAUUAGAUACCCUGGUAGUCCACGCCCUAAACGAUGAUCACUAGCUAUUGGAAAAACGAUAUUCAGUGGCUUAGCGAAAGCGAUAAGUGAUCCACCUGGGAAGUACAGUCGCAAGAUUGAAACUCAAAGGAAUUGACGGGGGUUCGCACAAGCGGUGGAGCAUGUGGUUUAAUUCGAUGAUACGCGAGGAACCUUACCAAGGCUUAAAUGUAUUACGAAUAAGCUGGAAACAGUUUAGUCUGUACGACGUAUUACAAGGUGCUGCAUGGUUGUCUUCAGUUCGUGCUGUGAAGUGUUUGGUUAAGUCCUAUAACGAGCGCAACCCCUAUUGUUAGUUGCCAUCGGGUAAAGCCGGGGACUCUAACAAAACUGCCAGUGUAAACUGUGAGGAAGGUGGGGAUGAUGUCAA
rnacentral:rRNA from 1 species